rnacentral:lncRNA from 1 species
CCUCCUCCUCUUCCUCGGGGGGCUGCGGCAGGAGCUGGGCGGGCGGGGGGGCCUCCUCCUCCCCGCCGCCGUCCCCCCCCGCGCCGCCCCCCCCGGCCUCGCCGCCCCCCACGGCGUCCUGCGUGGGGUCGGGCAUGCUGGCCAGCAGCUCGGCCAGCGCCAGCUUCUGGGCGCCUUCCACCAGGCCCCCCCCGAAAAGGGAGACCCAAGCCAAGCGCCCCAAAGCCCCCAGCACCCCCCAGCCCCCCAGCAGCCCCCCCAGCACCGCCCGGCCCGCGGCCGCCCCCGCCGCCCAGGCCAGCUCGCGGCCGGGCUUCUUGCGCAGCCGCCGCAGCCUCCGGCGCCACGAGUGGGGGGACCCCAGCAGGCGCCGCAGCCCCCCGGCCCCCACCAGCAGCUCCCCGAAGGCCGAGGUGGGCUCAGCGGGGGGCGGGGGGCCGCCGGCAGAGGCGGCGGCAGCGGGGGGGGUCUCGUCCUCGUCCUCCUGGUCCUCGCCCUCCUCGCCGUCGCGCGCCGGCUCCUCCUCGGAGAGGCGCGAGGCGAUCUGCAUCUCGAAGAUGGUGUCCUCGCAGAAGCUGACGAAGAGCUCCAUCUUCUCGGCCUCGCCGCCCUCGUUGACCACGUCGAAGAUGAACUGCCGCUUGGACUCCUUCACCUGCGGCAUCUCCCACUGCGCCUUGUUGGCGGCGCUGAUCUCGAAGUAGAGGCGCUCGAUGCGCCGCGCCGCCCCCAUGAUCUCGAUGCGGCCCAGGAAGGGGCGGAAAUACUCGAGGAUGCUGGCCGCCUGCUCCAGGAAGGUGCGCAGCCGCUGGUCGUGGGGCACGUGCUCCGCCAGGUUGGUGAGCAGCACGGCCACGUUGAAGCCGAUGUCGCGCGCCGGCUCCUGGAAGCGCCCGGCGAAGGCCUCCACGUCGAUCAUCUCGUUCUCGUCCGCCUCGGAGCACGAGAGCAGGAACUGCACCUCGGCCGGCUCGUACUGCUUCUGGCUGUCCAUGGCCUUCUGGAAAUCCUUCUUGGAGAUGAGGCCGCGCGGGUCCGAGACGUAGUCGCGGAAGGCGUCGGAGGCCACGAUGUCGCGCAGCUUCAGGAACAUGUCGAAGAACUUGAGGAUCAUGGUGACGUUGCUGGACGACUCCACCAGCAUGUCCACCAUCUGCCGGGCGAUCGUCCCGUUCACCACGUUCCCUACGGGGUUAUUUAGGGGGAGGGGGGGUUAUUUAUUUACUGGGGGGGGGGGCCACGAAGGGGGACACA